UUGAACGCUGGCGGCAUGCUUUACACAUGCAAGUCGAACGGUAACGCGGGGGCAACCCUGGCGACGAGUGGCGAACGGGUGAGUAAUACAUCGGAACGUGCCCAGUUGUGGGGGAUAGCUCGGCGAAAGCCGGAUUAAUACCGCAUACGACCUACGGGUGAAAGCGGGGGAUCGCAAGACCUCGCGCUAUUGGAGCGGCCGAUGGCAGAUUAGCUUGUUGGUGGGGUAAAAGCCUACCAAGGCGACGAUCUGUAGCUGGUCUGAGAGGACGACCAGCCACACUGGGACUGAGACACGGCCCAGACUCCUACGGGAGGCAGCAGUGGGGAAUUUUGGACAAUGGGCGAAAGCCUGAUCCAGCAAUGCCGCGUGUGUGAUGAAGGCCUUCGGGUUGUAAAGCACUUUUAGUGGGAACGAAACGGUCCGGGCUAAUACCCUGGACUAAUGACGGUACCCGCAGAAUAAGCACCGGCUAACUACGU
rnacentral:rRNA from 1 species